GAGAAUGCACUGGGGCUGACGACAAGGCUGGAACGUCCCGGGAUUGAAGCUUGGAUCCGAACUGUUGGACAGCGUCUGGAGUUUUGCACAAAAGAGAAUUGAAUUGUAGAUCAGCUGGGAAGUUACUGUGGUAGUCCUGGUGCCCUGCGGCCUCCAGCGACUGGAACCCUGUGGGAGCACAUAGCUGGCAUUUUUUGCUAGAGAUUAGGAAGUCUUUUGCUUCCUCUGUGAAAAGGCUUGAAUUCAAUGGACUGUUGUGGACUUCAACUAACCAACUAAAGAACUGUUCCCCAGAGCAUUGUUCCUGAGGAGGAAAAGAGCCCAAACACCCACCCACACCUGCUUUGUGCCAAGAAUCCACAGUUGGAUUGCAAGGACAGUGUGUUCAAGACCCAGCUGCUGAGAGUAGAAAAGCAGAAGAAAGGACCCGAGGUCAGCAAGUGCUCUCCCCACAAUGGGGCAGAUCUGCCAGCGAGAAUCGGCUACAGCAGCUGAAAAACCAAAACUUCAUCUACUUGCUGAAAGUGAGAUUGACAAGUAUCUCUAUGCCAUGCGGCUCUCUGAUGAAACUCUCAUAGAUAUCAUGACUCGCU
rnacentral:sRNA from 1 species